AUAGACAACAAGCGUUAUGUGCUAGAGGAUGGGAUUCAUAGUGUACCUUAUGGUUAUUCAUCAACUGUAUAGUUACUCACUCACUGCAUCUGCACGAAAUAUGGAAUUUUACAAGUCCAAACAGGAUGAGCAAACCAACCUACAUGUGUACAAGCUGCAAUGGCUUUCUACCUGUUGACGCAAAUGGUGAAGACCAAUCAGGUCUCUUUACCUGCGUCUACUGUGGUACGAAAUUAAAAUAUACAUACCACAGGUUCCUGACGCAUACUAACAAAUGUGUGGUCAGGAAGGCAAAACUGAACACAGCUCAUGCCUGCACUUGUCGGAAGAUUCAUCAUAAUGACUGACUUCUCAUCAUAAUGACUACCAGAAGUCAAACUUGCUCUGGCUGAAUGUAUCCUAUGUUUCACUGCAAGAGCAAAACAUGAACACUAUGAGAGGCUACUUCAAGACUACAAAGUGAACACUAUGUGUGACUGCUUCAAGACUACAAAGUGAACACUAUGUGUGACUACUUCAAGACCACAAGGAGAACAAACGUAACAAUCACAAUUGUGCUCACAUUGUUUAUUGUCACAAACUAUACAUAGACUACAUAGAGUGUGUGGUUUCAAUAAAACGAUUCUAGUGUUCCUGAUGACCUGAACCCAGGAACACCUUUGGCUGCUUUACGUUUAACAAAUAAAACAUUUCUAUGUA